rnacentral:tRNA from 1 species
CGGGACGUGGCGCAGCCUGGUAGCGCACCUGCCUUGGGCGCAGGGGGUCGAAGGUUCAAAUCCUUUCGUCCCGACCA